CUAGAUGUCGUGCGCGAAGAUGAGUAAGUCGUUCUGGUGGCCGACGUACCCGGGGGGAGUGUUGGCAACCCGGCUGCCAGCGCGCACCUUUCAUCAGGGAUCUUGGGCCACACACACCGACGAAAGAGACUAGAAGCAAUGGACAGGUAGAGUACUAUAUCGUAAGCAGAAAGAUGAAAAAGAAAUCAAAACAAAACAUACAACGUAUCCUAAUUGCACAUUGCGAAAGCUAAAACAUUUAAACUUAUUAUAUACUGUUAAAACCUAAUCUACACACUUGGAUUGCUUGAAUUAGGUACUAAAUCGUCACAAUUAGUUAUUCCUUUUCCUAACCCUAUAUUCACGCUGUUGUACGACUUUACAUCCACGAUCUAAACUACGACUACGCUGAACAGACGAGCAUACUUAGGGGACUAAACGUAAGUCUAAAAACCUUAUUCUUACUUAAAUGUAAAUGUAUAUGAAACCUGUGAAUUAUGAACUAAGAAAUAUGUAUUUACAACUACGUUCCAUUAGGAGAAUUAUAAUCCGCCGCUGUCAUACACCCAGAUAACGUGUUUAACCCGCGGAGAUUAUA